rnacentral:lncRNA from 1 species
GGGGAUGAUGAGCUCCACUAGGGAAUACAAUAAAUCAUAUAAGGAACAUAUAAAGAACCAAAAGACAAGAAGAAAAGAGACCAAUGCAAGUACUUGAAAGGAACUUAUAAGCAGGUACAGCAGCCACCAUCCAUCUUUGGACAGACUCCAGAUGUGAGUGACUCAGGUGCACAGCAUGGCUUCAGCCUGAGACUGUCACAGCAGCUGCUAGACCCAUCUCUGCCACUAUAUAUGAAAGCCGCCAGGCUCUUAAGAAACAACACAUGCAAAUGCUUAUGCUGAUCUAAAUCUUUCAACUUAAGCUCAGUUUCUGCAACGCUUUAAUGUGCUUCCGUCCAAUUUUCCACCAAUAAAAAAACAACAUCUG